UUCAGCCUCUGGAUGAAUGAAUUCCCACUGCCUCCCAGGCCUGGCAAGCCCUGCUACUGACGCAUCUUCCUCUUCCUCUCCCUCUUCCUGCUUCAGUUGAGGGCUGUCGGAUAAAACACAGAGCAUCCAGCUACAGUGAAAUUUCAGGGUUACAAGCAAUCUAGAGAUGGUUUAAGGUGUCCUGAAGGUCAGAUGAACCUAUGGAAACCUGUAUACCAGGGAUCUGUGUGCCUGCAGAUCCUGGCAUCCAAGGGGACCCUGCCACCAAGUCCCCGAGGACAAGACCGGUCCCACGUCCUGAGCCAUCGUCACCCCUGUCUUCGAGUCCAUGUGGAGGAUGUUACUGGCUGAGAAGCUCCAGGUUCCGGAGAUGCCUGAGAGAGGAAUUCCUGGUGUCACCCAUAGAUCACACCUCUGGCUGCAGCUAAUGCCCAGCUGACCGGAUGACUGUGCCAGCCUCAGUAGGGAGCCCCAGGCCACUGCUCUCACCCUUCUGGCCCCUGUACCUACUCUGGGUGAGGCGCUGGGUCCCAGGCCACUCUGGCCCCUACUGACACCUCUCUGUCUGUAGAGGGCUCUCCGGGGCAGGAGUUAAGCCCUGAUAUUAGGGGCACGUCACAUCCUUGCAUGGGGAACCGUUUGAUGCCCUGUCCUGGGAUGGUUAAGGGCUGUCCAUAAAGUCCCCCGCCCUUAAACCCUCCACUCAGCACACUCCCACCUGGUUCCCCCUGUCAGGGCCUUUUAGUAAACAGAAAGCAGGUGUCAGGCCCAGCACUGUGUUCACAGUCAAUCACAUUAUACAAUAAACUCAAUUAAAACUCAA